rnacentral:tRNA from 2 species
GCGGAAGUAGUUCAGUUGGUAGAACGCAACCUUGCCAAGGUUGAGGCCGAGGGUUCGAGUCCCUUUUUCCGCUCCC